rnacentral:lncRNA from 1 species
CGCCGUGGCUUAGUUGGUUAAAGCGCCUGUCUAGUAAACAGGAGAUCCUGGGUUCGAAUCCCAGCGGUGCCUGAGUGCUACCUUUUCUUCUUUUUUGCACGACCCUUUUUGUUUUGCGAGCCCUCUCACAGAACCGUUCCUCUGUCAGCGCGGAAGACAUUUUAGCGGAAGACGUUGUGUUCCCUGCUAGCCUUUGCCUCCUUGAGGUCGGCCAAAUCGCUGUCCCCUGAGUGCUUCCACAGGGGUGACAAGUCUCCACAGCCUCUUGGCUUCGCUGAGCAUUGCUCUUGGCUUCGCUGAGCACUGCAAAGCAUGCUGAUUUUUCCUCCCGGAAUCCGCGCAGUGGGUAGCAACAAUCUGCAUACUGAGAACAGCUUGGCGAGGCUGAGUAAAGUCCCAAAAUGGAGGUCUGUAGCAUCAAAUCCGAUCGUCAAUCUACAUCUACAGCAUGCAUAAAAAUCCAAAUGGCUAGGUGCUCCCGUGUGGGGCCCGAUUCUAAGGCCUGGGCUGUGGUUGCCAAGAGCACAGGCACAUGGGAACCCCUUGAGAGCAUUUGCGACCAGGGCUUUGGAAGGUGGGGGAGACUUUGAAGUUUUAAAGAAUGUUCCCCAGGGAUACACCUAAAUCCAAACAAAACACACAAUGAUAAACCCAGCGAGCUUUAGAAAAUGCAGGAGCCACGUGAGGCGGUGUUCCUAAUGCAGAUAUUUUGACUCACAAUUGAAGUUACAACCUUAUAAACCAUUUAAAACCAUCUUAAGGACUGGCGAGACGGCUCAGUGGAUAAAUGUCCUUGUUGCUAACCCUGGACGUCCUGAGUUCAAUUCCUGGGUCUAACAGGGUGGAAGAUGAGAACUGACCCUCGAAAACUGUCCUCCGGCCUGUGGGUCCACAUGUACGCCGCGGCUCACGUAUGAGCACAAAUGUGUUCACAACAAAUAGAUUUAACUUCUAGUGCCUUGAGUUUUAACUUUGCCAUGAUGAUAAUGGAAUGAUGCUCUGAAACUAUAAGCCACCCCAAUUAAAUGCCUUCCUUUAUAAGAGUUGCCUCUUUUCACAGCAAAGGAAACCCUAAUGAAGACAAAAUUUGGUACCAGGAGUGGGGUAUUGCUGUGCGAGGCCUGACGAUGCUUUUGUUUGGAGGAAUGUGGAUUUGGGAACUUUGGAUUAGGAAAGCAGUUGAACUUUUUAAGUGGGGCUUAAUGCACCAUCCUAGAAGGAGCAUGGAAGACAGGUGCGCUGAGAAUGAUUUGAAUUUGGGGGCCUGGCUCAAGAGGUUUCAGAGAAGAAUUUUAGUAUGUGGUCUAGAGACUGUUAUUAUGAUAUCUUGUCAAAGAAUAUAGCUGCCUUUUCUCCUUUUCUGAAAAGUCUGCCUGAGGCUAAACUGAAGAGUUUUGGUUAGUUAAGUUGGCAGAGGAAAUUUCAAAACAUCCUAGUCUUGACUCUGUCCUGUGGUUAUUACUGUUCACUCUUAUGAAGAUCUGUAAUGAAAAAGAGCAAGCUGAGCAAAGACAGCUACAAAAUGUGCAGUAUGUGGGGAAGAGAGGAACCAGGAAGUGGAACGAAGUGAAGUCCUACGCUUAAGGAGAUAAACAGAGUAAAGAAAAACCUGAUGUUAAAUGAAAUAAAGGCAAGGCCCCACCCAACUAUGCUUCCAACCUGCAAAAAGGAACUAAAGAGCUAGUUUCAGAACAGCCAAGUUUAGGCAGCAAAGGAAACCAUUGAAAACAGAAAGUUGGAGAAGAUGUAAUUGAAUGAAGGGGUUGGGGCAUGUUCCAGCCCCAGCAAGCAGCAGAACUUGCCAGCUUCAGCCACAUGGUUCUGGCUUUAGAAUCAAGGAUAGAAGAAGUGGUUAUAGAAUCUCUGUGACUAAGGAAAGCCUCUGAGGCCAGGCACAUGUCAGGGGUGGCCUGUCAUGGAGGCCCAGAGAGGCCACUGUGUGAAGCUGUAAAGAUGAAGCCUGGAUUGCCUUGGAGACCCCAAGAUAUUGGAGAUGCCAGAGUCAUGUGAUACCUGCCAAGGAGAGCUGCUAACAGGGUAUGGAACCAGCCUAAGAGAGAGACGCAUGUUGCAGUCAACAAAGCUGAAAGGAGUUGGGGAUCUGAAGACAUCAGACAUGGAGAUGCAGAUUUUGGAGUGUGCCCAGCUGGUUUUCAGUCUUGCUUUGGUCCAGUGUUUCCUCACAGUGCUCCCUCCUCCAUUUGGAAUAAUGAUGUGAAUCCUGUGCUGUUAUAUAUUGGAAGUAUGUGACUAUGGUUUAGAUUUUAUAGGGGAUUACAGUUAGAAGAUUGCAUGAGACUCAGAAGAAACUUUGAACUUUCACAGGGUUGAGACUGUUACAGACUAUGGGGACUUCUGCAGUUGGACUAAACACAUUUUGCAUUAUAAUAUGGAUACACACACAUGCACAGACACACACAUGCACAGACACACACAUACACAGACACACACACACAUAUAUAUAUAUGUACAUAUAUAUACAUAUGUAUAACCUAUAUAUCAGGAAGUGUAAUGUAGUAGUUUGAAUAAAACUGGCCCCCAUAGGCACAUAGUGACACUAUUAGGAGGUGUGGCCUUGUUGGAGGAAGCAUGUCUCAGUUUCUCCUUGCUGCCUGCUGAUCUGGAUGUUGAACUCUCAGCUCCUUCUCCAGCACCAUGUCUGCCUGUUCACUGAUCUGUUCCCCGCCAUGACGAUAUUGGACUAAACCCCUGAAACAGCAAGCCAGCCCCAAUGAAAUGUUCUCCUUUAUAAGAGUUGCCAUGGUUACAGUGUCUCUUCACAACAACAAAAUCCAAACUAAGAUAGUAAUUUUAAAAAGAUUUUAAAAGAUUUUAAAAAGAUUUUCAUGUUUGUGAGUGCCUGUAUUUUGUUAUCCAUGUGUAUGCAGUACCCAUGGAGGCCAGAAGAGGGGGCCAGUGUGGUGAAAAUGGAACCCUGAUCCUCUGCAGGAGCAGCAACUGCUUUUAACUACCGAACCAUCUUUCCAG